rnacentral:rRNA from 1 species
UACGGAGGGGCUAGCGUUGUUCGGAAUUACUGGGCGUAAAGCGCACGUAGGCGGCUUGUCGCGUCGAAUGUGAAAACCCACGGCUCAACUGUGGGCUUGCAUUCGAUACGGGCAGGCUAGAGUUCGGUAGGGGAGACUGGAAUUCCUGGUGUAGCGGCGAAAUGCGUAGAGAUGUGGAGGAACACCAGUGGCGAAGGCGGCUUUCUGGUCUGUAACUGACGCUGAGGCGCGAAAGCGUGGGGAGCAAACAGG